AUCUGUGACUUUAAAAAAAUCAGAGAAGCCCUGUAGAAACUUAGAGAGCCAUCCACAAGACUGCCCUCACUUCUGACAACAACUCCAGAGUUCAGGGCUUCCUAAGACCACAUUCAGGUUUGAGAGUUCACUAGAAGGACUCAGAACUCACUGAAAACUGUUUUACUCACAUUUACACUUUAUUACAGGGAAAGGAUACAGACACAAAUCACCCAGGGGAAGAGAUGCAUGGGGCAGAAUGCAAGAAGGUUCCAAACCAGGAGCUUUCAGUUACCCUUCCUCAUGGAGUCAUGGACAGCGCUGCUUUUCUGGCAAUGACAUGUGACAAUACACAAUCUAGGCAUAUACUAGACUGUAACGAGAUUUGCUCUGAGGACACAUGCUGUCUGUGAAACAUCUUCUGCUUCACUCUGGGAAGAAUGAUUGAAUUUCUUUAGCCACAGUUUUGUUUUCUGUCUCAAGGAGUUCACUGCCAAGGUAGAAGGGAUUCAGCAUGUUCUAGGUCAGGUUUUUACUGAAAAAGAUUUUUAUGUCUUUCUUGAAAAAGUCAUAAAAGGAAAAAGAAAAGAGAAUGGAUGGUCACAAACUAAAUGGUUCAGUUGCGAACGUUGCCUCAAAUAUUUCCUUAAGGCUCAUUAAGAGGAGAUUUUUCGGCAGUAGAAUGAGUGAGUCAGAAAGGUUAAUAUCUGGUAGAUUUUUAAUAGGGUUUUACUAACCUAGAUAAUACAUUAUCCUAUUAGUAGAAAUAUCUAAUUGCAAAGAAUAAUUCAUUGGUCGGCCUUGCUAACAAAAGAGAGUUUAGUUAUUGAGCUUGUAAUAGGCUUCUCUGACAUCUAAGAAUUUAUUGCAAAACAGUUAAAACUGUAUGUACAGACUUGACUAGAAGGGUGGUCAUCUUAGUGUUGUGUAUAUUAAUAGUAGACAACAGGCUGGGCAUGGUGGCUCAUGCCUGUAAUCCCAGCACUUUGGGAGACCAAGGUGGGUGGAUCACUUGAGGUCAGGAGUUCGAGACCAGUCUGGCCAACAUGGUGAAACCCCAACUCUACUAAAAAUAAAAAUAAAAAUAAUAAAAAAUGGGCUGGGCAUGGUGGCGGGUGGCUGUAAUCCCAGCUACUUGGGAGGCUGAGGCAGGAGAAUCUCUUGAACCUGGGAGGCAGAGGUUGCAGUGAGCUGAGAUCACGCCAUUGCACUCCAGCCUGGGUGACAAGAGCAAGACUCCAUCUCAAAAAAAAAAUAAAUAAAUAAUAGACAACAAUGAGAAAAGCUAGGUAUGCAUUAAUUCAAAGUUGUUUAAAUAAAUUAUUGUAACAAGCAUAAUGGAACACUCUGAAGUAAUUUUAAUUGACUUAUUGAUAUGAAAAGAUGUUUUUGAUAUAGUUUUAGUUGGAAAAAAAUACAGAAUAGUAUUGUAUUGUAAUUUCUAUGUUAAAGUUUUAAUAAAGUUCCUUAAGUGCUGACAA